GAACUGAAACAUCUAAGUACCCCGAGGAAAAGAAAUCAACCGAGAUUCCCCUAGUAGCGGCGAGCGAACGGGGAGCAGCCCUUAAGCUGUUUAGAAUUUAGUGGAAUCCUUUGGGAAGAGGAGCGAUACAAGGUGAUAGCCCUGUACACGACGGAUUCUUUACAGUGAAAUCGAGUAGGUCGGGACACGUGUUAUCUUGACUGAAUAUGGGGGGACCAUCCUCCAAGGCUAAAUACUCCUGACUGACCGAUAGUGAACCAGUACCGUGAGGGAAAGGCGAAAAGAACCCCUGUGAGGGGAGUGAAAUAGAACCUGAAACCGUAUACGUACAAGCAGUGGGAGCCACUUCGUGUGGUGACUGCGUACCUUUUGUAUAAUGGGUCAGCGACUUAUAUUUAGUAGCGAGGUUAAGUGAAUAACGGAGCCGUAGCGAAAGCGAGUGUUAACUGCGCGUUUAGUUGCUAGGUAUAGACCCGAAACCCGGUGAUCUAUCCAUGAGCAGGUUGAAGGUUGAGUAACAUCAACUGGAGGACCGAACCCACUAACUUUGAAAAGUUAGGGGAUGACUUGUGGCUGGGGGUGAAAGGCCAAUCAAACCGGGAGAUAGCUGGUUCUCCCCGAAAUCUAUUUAGGUAGAGCCUCGGACGAAUUCCAUUGGGGGUAGAGCACUGUUAAGGCUAGGGGGUCAUCCCGACUUACCAACCCUUUGCAAACUCCGAAUACCAAUGAGAACUAUCCGGGAGACACACGGCGGGUGCUAACGUCCGUCGUGGAGAGGGAAACAACCCAGACCGCCAGCUAAGGUCCCAAAAUAUUGCUAAGUGGGAAACGAUGUGGGAAGGCUUAGACAGCUAGGAGGUUGGCUUAGAAGCAGCCAUCCUUUAAAGAAAGCGUAAUAGCUCACUAGUCGAGUCGGCCUGCGCGGAAGAUGUAACGGGGCUAAGCAAUAUACCGAAGCUGCGGCAGCAUGUUUACAUGCUGGGUAGGGGAGCGUUGUGUAAGUGGAUGAAGGUGAGUUGUAAAGCUUGCUGGACAUAUCACAAGUGCGAAUGCUGACAUGAGUAACGAUAAUGGGAGUGAAAAACUCCCACGCCGGAAGACCAAGGUUUCCUGUCCCAUGCUAAUCAGGGCAGGGUAAGUCGGCCCCUAAGGCGAGGCAGAAAUGCGUAGUCGAUGGGAAACGGGUUAAUAUUCCCGUACUUAUAUAAUCAGUGAUGGAGGGACGGAGAAGGCUAGGCA
rnacentral:rRNA from 1 species